rnacentral:ncRNA from 1 species
CUAGCCUUUGUCCGCCGCUGUCAAAUCAGCGGCCGGGCAUGGAACCCCGAAUU